AUUGAACGCUGGCGGCAGACCUAACACAUGCAAGUCGAGCGGAUGAAGGGAGCUUGCUCCUGGAUUCAGCGGCGGACGGGUGAGUAAUGCCUAGGAAUCUGCCUGGUAGUGGGGGAUAACGUCCGGAAACGGGCGCUAAUACCGCAUACGUCCUGAGGGAGAAAGUGGGGGAUCUUCGGACCUCACGCUAUCAGAUGAGCCUAGGUCGGAUUAGCUAGUUGGUGGGGUAAAGGCCUACCAAGGCGACGAUCCGUAACUGGUCUGAGAGGAUGAUCAGUCACACUGGAACUGAGACACGGUCCAGACUCCUACGGGAGGCAGCAGUGGGGAAUAUUGGACAAUGGGCGAAAGCCUGAUCCAGCCACGCCGCGUGUGUGAAGAAGGUCUUCGGAUUGUAAAGCACUUUAAGUUGGGAGGAAGGGCAGUAAGUUAAUACCUUGCUGUUUUGACGUUACCAACAGAAUAAGCACCGGCUAACUUCGUG
rnacentral:rRNA from 1 species